UACGUAGGGUGCAAGCGUUGUCCGGAUUUAUUGGGUUUAAAGGGUGCGUAGGUGGCUGAUUAAGUCAUGGGUGAAAGCCCGCAGCUCAACUGUGGAAUUGCCUGUGAUACUGAUUAGCUUGAGUGCGGUUGAGGCAGCUGGAAUUGGUGGUGUAGCGGUGAAAUGCAUAGAUACCACCAGGAACACCGAUUGCGAAGGCAGGUUGCUAAGCCGUAACUGACACUGAGGCACGAAAGCGUGGGGAGCAAACAGG
rnacentral:rRNA from 1 species